GAUGAACGCUGGCGGCGUGCCUAAUACAUGCCAGUCGAGCGAACAGACGAGGAGCUUGCUCCUUUGACGUUAGCGGCGGACGGGUGAGUAACACGUGGAUAACCUACCUAUAAGACUGGGAUAACUUCGGGAAACCGGAGCUAAUACCGGAUAAUCUAUUGAACCGCAUGGUUCAAUAGUGAAAGACGGUUUUGCUGUCACUUAUAGAUGGAUCCGCGCCGCAUUAGCUAGUUGGUAAGGUAACGGCUUACCAAGGCAACGAUGCGUAGCCGACCUGAGAGGGUGAUCGGCCACACUGGAACUGAGACACGGUCCAGACUCCUACGGGAGGCAGCAGUAGGGAAUCUGCCGCAAUGGGCGAAAGCUUGACGGAGCAACGCCGCGUGAGUGAUGAAGGUCUUCGGAUCGUAAAACUCUGUUAUUAGGGAAGAACAAGUGUGUAAGUAACUAUGCACGUCUUGACGGUACCUAAUCAGAAAGCCACGGCUAACUACGUG
rnacentral:rRNA from 1 species